CACCAAGUAACGGGCUGGGAACACGCAAAAGCUCAAAUAGGCACUAGUAUACAAAACAUGCCAAGCAAAUAAACAUUCACCAUUUGUAGGUAUUGACUGAUGUUGGCAUGUAUGAGUAGGAAUGGUUAUGGGCGAAGAUGAUGUCUGUAUUCUCGCCACAGUGGUUAUAGGUAUGUCGUCAGUGUUAACGUCACGUGGCUCAUAAACAAAUGGAAUGCGUGUAUCGAUUGAAGAGGCGAAAAUCAGCACAAGUUCGUUGUAGAAAAAAACGAGAAGUGCGGACGAAAACACACAAAGAAAAAUCCGGAGUUUCAUUUGAAGUAUUUAAUUACAAUUGACGAAAUGAUUGCAUUGCAUUUGAAAAUUAUAUUUUUUGUUAACUGAAGGGGGCGAAUGGACCAACUUUAAGCUGAUAUAUUUACAUAUGUACAUACAACUGCAGCGGCAACAACAACUAAAAAUGUCGGCUUUUAUUUCCGGCCAAGACCUGUCACUUUAGCAGUACAUUUAAUAUUACGUAUGCAUAUAUAAAACAAACAAUAACACUAACAACCACUGGCACACGGCACAGUGCAUACAGAAAAUAAAGCAAUACUUGAGAUUUCUCAACAA